rnacentral:rRNA from 1 species
GCUAUACAUGCAGUCGAACGCUUCUUUCCUCCCGAGUGCUUGCACUCAAUUGGAAAGAGGAGUGGCGGACGGGUGAGUAACACGUGGGUAACCUACCCAUCAGAGGGGGAUAACACUUGGAAACAGGUGCUAAUACCGCAUAACAGUUUAUGCCGCAUGGCAUAAGAGUGAAAGGCGCUUUCGGGUGUCGCUGAUGGAUGGACCCGCGGUGCAUUAGCUAGUUGGUGAGGUAACGGCUCACCAAGGCCACGAUGCAUAGCCGACCUGAGAGGGUGAUCGGCCACACUGGGACUGAGACACGGCCCAGACUCCUACGGGAGGCAGCAGUAGGGAAUCUUCGGCAAUGGACGAAAGUCUGACCGAGCAACGCCGCGUGAGUGAAGAAGGUUUUCGGAUCGUAAAACUCUGUUGUUAGAGAAGAACAAGGACGUUAGUAACUGAACGUCCCCUGACGGUAUCUAACCAGAAAGCCACGGCUAACUACGUGCCAGCAGCGGCCGGUAAUAAA